rnacentral:rRNA from 1 species
CCUACGGGAGGCUGCAGUGGGGAAUAUUGGACAAUGGGGGCAACCCUGAUCCAGCCAUGCCGCGUGUGUGAAGAAGGCCCUCGGGUUGUAAAGCACUUUCAGUGAGGAAGAACGCCUGGUGGUUAAUACCCAUCAGGAAAGACAUCACUCACAGAAGAAGCACCGGCUAACUCCGUGCCAGCAGCCGCGGUAAUACGGAGGGUGCGAGCGUUAAUCGGAAUUACUGGGCGUAAAGCGCGCGUAGGUGGCUUGAUAAGCCGGUUGUGAAAGCCCCGGGCUCAACCUGGGAACGGCAUCCGGAACUGUCAAGCUAGAGUGCAGGAGAGGAAGGUAGAAUUCCCGGUGUAGCGGUGAAAUGCGUAGAGAUCGGGAGGAAUACCAGUGGCGAAGGCGGCCUUCUGGACUGACACUGACACUGAGGUGCGAAAGCGUGGGUAGCAAACAGGAUUAGAUACCUUAGUAGUC